rnacentral:rRNA from 1 species
UACGGUAGGGGGCUAGCGUUGUCCGGAAUCAUUGGGCGUAAAGAGCGUGUAGGCGGCCCGGUAAGUCCGCUGUGAAAGUCGGGGGCUCAACCCUCGAAUGCCGGUGGAUACUGUCGGGCUAGAGUGCGGGAAGAGGCGAGUGGAAUUCCUGGUGUAGCGGUGAAAUGACGCAGAGUAUCAGGAGGAACACCGAUUGCGAAGGCAGCUCGCUGGGACGUAACUGACGCUGAGACGCGAAAGCGUGGGGAGCAAACAGG